rnacentral:rRNA from 1 species
GGUGAGUAACGCGUAGGAAUCUGCCUCAUAGUGGGGGACAACGUGGGGAAACUCACGCUAAUACCGCAUACGCCCUACGGGGGAAAGCGGGGGAUCUUCGGACCUCGCGCUAUGAGAUGAGCCUGCGUUAGAUUAGCUAGUUGGUGGGGUAAAGGCCUACCAAGGCGACGAUCUAUAGCUGGUCUGAGAGGACGAUCAGCCACACUGGGACUGAGACACGGCCCAGACUCCUACGGGAGGCAGCAGUGGGGAAUAUUGGACAAUGGGCGAAAGCCUGAUCCAGCAAUACCGCGUGUGUGAAGAAGGCCUUCGGGUUGUAAAGCACUUUCAAUUGGGAGGAAAACCUACCGGUCAAUACCCGGUAGCUUGACAUUACCUUUAGAAGAAGCACCGGCUAACUCCGUGCCAGCAGCCGCGGUAAUACGGAGGGUGCGAGCGUUAAUCGGAAUUACUGGGCGUAAAGCGUGCGUAGGCGGUUCGUUAAGUCAGAUGUGAAAGCCCUGGGCUCAACCUGGGAACGGCAUUUGAAACUGGCGGACUAGAGUUUAGUAGAGGGGAGUGGAAUUUCAGGUGUAGCGGUGAAAUGCGUAGAUAUCUGAAGGAACACUAGUGGCGGAGGCGACUCUCUGGACUAGGAACUGACGCUGAGGUACGAAAGCGUGGGUAGCAAACAGGAUUAGAUACCCUGCUAGUCCACGCUGUAAACGAUGUCAACUAGCCGUUGGUCCUAUUUACAGGAUUAGUGGCGCAGCUCACGCAUUAAGUUGACCGCCUGGGGAGUACGGCCCGCAAGUUUA